GCGCACGGCUCCGCGCCCUCACCUCUGCGGCCGCCCCCAGCAGGCGCUCUCGGCGCAGGCGAAGACGUUGGCGAGACGGUGGAAGGGGGACGCGCCCAGCGGGCAGUACACCUGCACCAAUGCUUUGGGGCAGCAAGAUCCAGGUGACCAGCCGGCUCUCACUCAGAAGCUGUGUAACCUUGGCCAGCACUGAUGCCAAAAGACCUCAUGCAAAUGAGCAGGGAAGCCCUCACAAUUAUGCAAGCUGUUCCUUUAACAAACAAAUAGCACAUGUAUGCUUGGGCCCUGGACUCAGUGGAAGGUUUCUGUGUGCAGACCACACAUCCUCUGCAGCUUAGCCUCUAACUAAGCAAAGUAUCCUGUUCGGAACUGGACAGCUUGAAAACAGAAGCCACCUAGCUGUACAGAGCUGAUUGAGCUUCCAUGUCACUCACUGGACAGCUGAGAAAUAAUAAAUUACAGAAAGAGAGAAGUGCCUGUCUUCUUCGCAGCCCAGUGCCUCCAUCACAUACAGAUUUUAUGCCUGUGAAAGGCAGCCCAAUGCCGGGCAGGCCCCAGCUAGUGCAGACUUCAAAGAGAGUCCAGUCCACACAUGGGAAGAAAGAACCCACAUGGUUAUCAGUUUGCACUUUCAUAGAAUUUCUUUGUUCAGACUUGUUGGUGGCUUUCACAACACCCUCUUGGAGUCAGCCUGAAGUAUGUGAAAGAAAAUACAUUCCAAAAAUCAGAAGUACAAUGUAUUUGUAACAAUUUACAGAAGAGGAAAAUGCUUGUGAUCUCACAGAGGUUUUUUGAUGGAUGCUCUCCUCCUCACAAGCUAUUUCCACUAAAAGUAAGUGGAAAGAGGCUGCAGGAAUAUCAGACUCAAUCUUCUUGAUAAAAGGAGUGGAAUGAAUAUACAACAUAUUCUGAAACCUAUGAUAUAUUCUGUAUAACUUCUGAUCGAUUUCAAUGUAUUUACUAAUAUUCCCCUCUUUCUCCCUUUUCAAAAGAACACCAUUCAAUUUUGGUAUCCAAUGAGAAGAUAUAAUGGUCUAUUUGAGCUUGAAGGACUGCUUAUUUUUAGCUUCUCACUUCAUUAUCCAUUUCUGUACCCAUCAACAUUUUGAACUUCCUUUGAUUCUCUCCCUUCACUGGGAUCAUGACAACAAACGACACAUUAGUGAGUUAGAAAGUCAAGAUUAAAAUCUGCAUUCUGACAAAUUAAUGUUGCCUUCAGGUUUUACAAGGAAACUGUAUCCUCUUCAGCUCUCACAAAUCUGUGUGUUCUCUCCUUCUUUCACUCCUCAUUUGUUCUGUGAGCUGUACCCAAAACUCCAUUUUGUCUUCUUUCAGUUUCUUUGCUGCCUUUUGGAUGAGGUCUAUUUCCAGGUAUCUUUCAUCCAGAUCAUACUGAGGCCAAUGGACCAAGCCUUCCCCAUUGGGAUUUCUGGAAACAAAACAAUGAAAAGUUACCUGUCCACUGGUGAUCCGACUUGUCAACCUGAGAUCGUUUCAGAAGACUAACAGGAGCUCAGAUGACACCAUUCAAGGACCUGAGCACAUGCAUGUUUUUAUCAAAAUGCUCAUCACUGGAAUAGCACGCACUUAAUAAUGCUUGCCAUUGCUUUGGGAUUUAAUCCUCCCCUGCAGAUACAAAUACCUCCGAGAUUUUAUUUUGGAUUGCACGUUCAUUUCCAGAGUUUUUCUUGCAAUCAUUAAGAAGAGAAACUAUUUGUUUCAGUACUUAUCUUAAAUUCCGCCACGUUUACAGCCAUGCUGCUGCUACGCAGCAAUGAGCUGCAGUUAGUGCUACGGAUCUCACCCGUUUCUAGCAAAGUUAGUCCAGUAUUUCAUAACAGCUCUGCUAAGUUUAUUUUCUUCUUCUGUAGCAUUCCCUGCAAAGUGAGAGGAGAAAUGGCAAAGAUCAGUACUCAAAAAACAGCAGUCCAAUCAAUUCCAAUACACUGUAGCCAAUUCUACAGCAAUGAGGAUGUGGACUAGAUCAUCUCUAAAGGUCCCUUCCAAUCCAAACCAUUCUACGAAUCUACUUGUUACUCUGGGCCGUAGGAAUUCUACGUGAGCAGAGUAGGUGAAUGAUUUCACGAAAAGUAACUAUAACUGAAGACAGGAAAAACAAAACAGCUUAUUUUGAUUCCAGAGUUACUAAACAAAAUUCCAUUAUGAAAGACCUCAGGGAAGUGAAAUUAAUAACAAUGCUGAUUUCAAAAGAAUUCUUUAGCAAGCAUAGAUACAUCACCAGCUAAGAACGGCUUUCCAAAGACAAAGGCAAUCUCAUCUCCAUGAUCUGCUUUUACAAACUCUGGUACGACACCCGUGGCUGAGCUUGGCCGAUGUUGAAAUUCAUAAAAGUAGACUGGGUGGCCAGCAUCUAACAGGAAAUAAAAUCAAAAACAAGAGUGCUAGUGUUGCAAAUGCCACACAACAACGAUGAUAAACUUUCACCACAAGCUAUUUUGAUCAAAUGAAAACACUAGCAGUUCUUCUGAUAACAAAGUGUGAUACAUACAUCAUGUCCACAGACACGCUCAAGGAUGGAAGACAACGAUUGUUUGAAUAGAUGCUGAAUUACAGACUCACCUCUAUGGUAUCUAGCCACUUCAAUGGCUGGGAAAACAAACAUGUGAUCCCCUAUUGCAUCAAGAAGGCCAUCUCGCACCUGAGCACGGCUCUCUGCUUUGCCUAUGUAUUCAUUGAAUACGAGAUCUACAAUGUCAGAUGGAACACUCUGAAACAAAAAACAAAAACAUGAUAAUGAAUAUUAAAAGAAGUAACAGCGUA